AUCCCAUGAUGAGGACAGGCAGCGACAUAUUCCUGCAACCUUUCCCAAGCUUUUGAAUCGUCUCAUCUCUUGUCUGCUGGAAAUUGGAUAUUCUUCCACGAAGGGC
rnacentral:snoRNA from 1 species